rnacentral:lncRNA from 1 species
AGAAUGAGAAAUACGGUGUCACAAAGUUGAGGAGGAAUGCUGGCAUGGUUCAUCCAGUAUGCAUCACUAAAGUGAUUUGCAAUGAAUGAGAUCAUGCAGUCCACUGCUCUACUUGCUUGCGGACACGCUUGGGAUGCAUGGAAAGAGGCCUAGCUCCUAGUUAGCCUCUGGAUGUCCCAAAGUAGAGGAUUCUCCUCAAUGGAUUGGGUUCGUCUCAAAAUCCAUCCAAACUACUUUCAAAGAGGAGAUGGUUGACUACAAAAAAAAAAAAAUGGUUCACCCUUAAGGUGAUCAUGGCAUGUCUAGUUCCUUCCCAUGCCCUCCUCAACUCUGCCCAUGGAUGGAAAUAUCAAACAACCAUCUCCUGUUUGUCACUAUGAACCUUGACUUAACCUCCCAAUCACAAAUCCUGCAAAUCUUUGAUGCCAUCAAAGUUAAUCUCAAGAAAGGUUGGGAUUUGAGAACUCAAUACAACAAAAUCUUUCAUCAGUGGAACAAUCAUACUAGCAUUUGUUGCUUUACGCAGAUAAAAGUUCUCUUUUCAUGGCAUUUAGGCUC